AUGCGAUAAGUAGUGUGAAUUGCAGAAUUCAGUGAAUCAUCGAAUCUUUGAACGCACAUUGCGGCCAUAGGUAUUCCUUUGGCCAUGCCUGUUCGAGCGUCAUUUACACCCUCAAGCCUAGCUUGGUGUUGGGCGUCUGUCCCGCCGUUUUCGCGCGCGGACUCGCCUCAAAGUCAUUGGCGGCGGUCGUGCCGGCCCCCUCGCGCAGCACAUUUGCGCUUCUCGGAGGCCCGGCGGAUCCGCGCUCCAGCAAGACCUUUCACGACUUGACCUCGGAUCAGGUAGGGAUACCCGCUGAACUUAA
rnacentral:misc_RNA from 1 species